AUUGAACGCUGGCGGCGUGCUUAACACAUGCAAGUCGAUCGGUAACAGGUGUAGCAAUACAUGCUGACGAGAGGCGGACGGGCGAGGAAUAUUUGGGAAUCUGCCCAUCAGCGGGGGACAACCCGGGGAAACUCGGGCUAAUACCGCAUACGCUCUACGGAGGAAAGCCGGGGACCGCAAGGCCUGGCACUGAUGGAUGAGCCCAAAUCGGAUUAGCUAGUUGGCGGGGUAACGGCCCACCAAGGCGACGAUCCGUAGCUGGUCUGAGAGGACGAUCAGCCACACCGGAACUGAGACACGGUCCGGACUCCUACGGGAGGCAGCAGUGGGGAAUAUUGGACAAUGGGGGAAACCCUGAUCCAGCGACGCCGCGUGGGUGAAGAAGGCCUGUGGGUUGUAAAGCCCUUUCGGUAGGGAAGAAAUCUCUUGUCUUAACACGGCAAGGGUUUGACUUAACCUACAUAAGAAGCACCGGCUAACUCUGUGCCAGCCGCCGCGGUAAAAC
rnacentral:rRNA from 1 species